UAGCGUUGAAUUUACUCUUUCUAUUUUGUUUGCUACUAUCUUAGCAAUAUUGAAGUUGCUAUAGUUUAGUAAUAUUAAUUUGAUCGCUUCAACAACAAUAUUAUCAAAUUUGGCGUCGUUGCUAGGAAAUACGGUUAUAAUUUUUAUCAUUUUAGUUCUUAUUUUAUUAUAUUUUUGUUUAUCACUAACAUAUUCUUUUUCUUUAUUUUUUUUCCUGUAUCAUUUAUUUUACUUUAUUUUCUUUAGAUUUUUUAGUUUAGUAAUUUUUUUUAUCAUAGUUUUUGUUUGAGAAUUUUUUUUUUUUGGAAAUUCGUAAAACUAGUUGGGGAACACUUUAGCUAAGGAAAGAUAAGAUACUUAAGUUGUCUAUU
rnacentral:lncRNA from 1 species